rnacentral:rRNA from 1 species
UACGGAGGGUGCAAGCGUUAUCCGGAUUCACUGGGUUUAAAGGGAGCGCAGGCGGGCUGGUAAGUCAGUGGUGAAAGCCUUGAGCUUAACUCGAGAACUGCCAUUGAUACUAUCAGUCUUGAAUAUUGUUGAGGUUUGCGGAAUGGGUCAUGUAGCGGUGAAAUGCAUAGAUAUGACCCGGAACACCUAUUGCGAAGGCGGCAGGCUAAACAAAGAUUGACGCUGAGGCUCGAAAGCGUGGGGAUCAAACAGG